CCUACGGGUGGCUGCAGUGAGGAAUAUUGGUCAAUGGGAGAGAUCCUGAACCAGCCAAGCCGCGUGAGGGAAGACGGCCCUAUGGGUUGUAAACCUCUUUUGUCGGAGAACAAAACCCGGGACGUGUCCCGGACUGCGUGUAUCCGAAGAAAAAGCAUCGGCUAACUCCGUGCCAGCAGCCGCGGUAAUACGUAGGGGGCAAGCGUUAUCCGGAUUUACUGGGUGUAAAGGGAGCGUAGACGGCGCUGCAAGUCCGGAGUGAAAGCCCAUGGCUUAACCAUGGUACUGCUCUGGAAACUGUAGAGCUUGAGUGCGGGAGGGGCAGGCGGAAUUCCUAGUGUAGCGGUGAAAUGCGUAGAUAUUAGGAGGAACACCGGCGGCGAAGGCGGCCUGCUGGACCGUAACUGACGUUGAGGCUCGAAAGCGUGGGGAGCAAACAGGAUUAGAUACCCCAGUAGUC
rnacentral:rRNA from 1 species